GAUGUCAAAUGAAUCGUCUUUUUGACACAGUAUAUUGGAUUGUUGUCAUGUGCUGUCUCUUGUCCUCCAGUAACUUUCGCUUUCGUUUCCUUCGACUCAAAACCAGUCGAUCAGGCUGAACCGAGCAGAACAGAACUCGACAGCUCACACUUCAGACAGCUCUCGCUUCUCGUUGCUGUUUGGAGAUUUUCUUGAAGUUAUGUCAGAUCAACCUGAAGAGCCAAUGGAAGGAGUUGAGGAAUCUUGAAGUCAGCAGUUAAGCAGUGGUGAUCAACAUUUAGAGAAUCAGGAUUUAACAAAGGGUUCUAGUAAUCAGGGAGCAUUCUUGCUAAAUCAUCAGGCCCUACAUUCAUCAAGCAUUGCUGAUCCUCAUUUGAUACAAGACUACAUUCAACCUUCUAAUGCUCAGGUGAGUACCAG